GGGGGAUUAGUGGCGAACGGGUGAGUAACACGUGAGUAACCUGCCCUUAACUCUGGGAUAAGCCUUGGAAACGGGGUCUAAUACUGGAUAUUGACUUUUCACCGCAUGGUGGUUGGUUGAAAGAUUUAUUGGUUUUGGAUGGACUCGCGGCCUAUCAGCUUGUUGGUGAGGUAAUGGCUCACCAAGGCGACGACGGGUAGCCGGCCUGAGAGGGUGACCGGCCACACUGGGACUGAGACACGGCCCAGACUCCUACGGGAGGCAGCAGUGGGGAAUAUUGCACAAUGGGCGCAAGCCUGAUGCAGCGACGCCGCGUGAGGGAUGACGGCCUUCGGGUUGUAAACCUCUUUCAGUAGGGAACAAGGCCAGUGUUUAGCUGGUUGAGGGUACUUGCAGAAGAAGCGCCGGCUAACUACGUGCCAGCAGCCGCGGUAAUACGUAGGGCGCAAGCGUUAUCCGGAAUUAUUGGGCGUAAAGAGCUCGUAGGCGGUUUGUCGCGUCUGCCGUGAAAGUCCGGGGCUCAACUCCGGAUCUGCGGUGGGUACGGGCAGACUAGAGUGAUGUAGGGGAGACUGGAAUUCCUGGUGUAGCGGUGAAAUGCGCAGAUAUCAGGAGGAACACCGAUGGCGAAGGCAGGUCUCUGGGCAUUAACUGACGCUGAGGAGCGAAAGCAUGGGGUUCCUGGUGUAGCGGUGAAAUGCGCAGAUAUCAGGAGGAACACCGAUGGCGAAGGCAGGUCUCUGGGCAUUAACUGACGCUGAGGAGCGAAAGCAUGGGGAGCGAACAGGAUUAGAUACCCUGGUAGUCCAUGCCGUAAACGUUGGGCACUAGGUGUGGGGGACAUUCCACGUUUUCCGCGCCGUAGCUAACGCAUUAAGUGCCCCGCCUGGGGAGUACGGCCGCAAGGCUAAAACUCAAAGGAAUUGACGGGGGCCCGCACAAGCGGCGGAGCAUGCGGAUUAAUUCGAUGCAACGCGAAGAACCUUACCAAGGCUUGACAUGAACUGGAAACGCCUAGAAAUAGGUGCCCCGCUUGCGGUCGGUUUACAGGUGGUGCAUGGUUGUCGUCAGCUCGUGUCGUGAGAUGUUGGGUUAAGUCCCGCAACGAGCGCAACCCUCGUUCUAUGUUGCCAGCACGUAAUGGUGGGGACUCAUAGGAGACUGCCGGGGUCAACUCGGAGGAAGGUGAGGACGACGUCAAAUCAUCAUGCCCCUUAUGUCUUGGGCUUCACGCAUGCUACAAUGGCCGGUACAAUGGGUUGCGAUACUGUGAGGUGGAGCUAAUCCCAAAAAGCCGGUCUCAGUUCGGAUUGGGGUCUGCAACUCGACCCCAUGAAGUCGGAGUCGCUAGUAAUCGCAGAUCAGCAACGCUGCGGUGAAUACGUUCCCGGGCCUUGUACACACCGCCCGUCAAGUCACGAAAGUUGGUAACACCCGAAGCC
rnacentral:rRNA from 1 species